GGGAUCACAUAGAGCUUUGCCAACACAUUCUAUUGCGUGUUUUAAUGUUCCUGUGAAUGCGCCCUUGAGAUUUCUCCCUCCCCCGUCCACACUGAGCUUAGAAGCAAAGUUAAGAGACUCAUCAGAUUCUGAGCUGCUGCGGGAUAUUUUGCAGAAGACUGUGAAGCAUCCUGUGUGUGUGUGAAGCACCCGCCGUCAGUCAAGUAUGCCCGGUGCUUUCUCUCAGAACUCAUCAAAAAGACGUGCUGUAUUGCCCAGAAGCCAUCGUGUCGCUGGUCGGGGUCCUGCGGAGGCUGGCUGCCUGCCAGGAGCACAAGCGGGCUCCUGAGGUCUACGUGGCCUUUACCGUCCGCAACCCAGAGACGUGCCAGCUGUUCACCACCGAGCUAGGUGAGCCCACACACCCACCCGGGCCUGCAUGGUCCCUGAGCUGUCCCUGCAGGACUCCAGUGGAAGUGAAAGAACUGGGCACCGGGGAAAAGCUAGGAUGUCCCACACUCCUACACCAUGCAGGGAACUCGGGCACAGGCCGGCUGGGCCGGGAUCAGAUGGGAAGCAGAAGCUCAUCAUGACCAGAAACUGUUUCCCUACGGAGAGCACUUGGAGAUGGCAAUGCUGAACCUCACACUGUAGGACUCACACACGACUCUAACGGGAUUGUAAGAAUCAAGUCACUCUCAUGGGAAGAAUUUUUAUAUGGGAAAGCGGCUAAAACUUUCAUUGGACUGGAAUGUUUGGAGAUUGUUAAAUUCCAAAUCAGGAACCACAAACUGCCCUCUAAUAAGAUAUCAGCUGUCUAAGCGUGUGGGUGCC
rnacentral:lncRNA from 1 species